rnacentral:rRNA from 1 species
UGGGGAAUAUUGCACAAUGGUCGCAAGCCUGAUGCAGCCAUGCCUCGUGUAUGAAGAAGGCCUUCGGGUUGUAAAGUACUUUCAGCGGGGAGGAAGGGAGUAAAGUUAAUACCUUUGCUCAUUGACGUUACCCGCAGAAGAAGCACUUGCUAACUCCGUGCCAGCAGCCGCGGUAAUACGGAGGGUGCAAUCGAUAAUCGGAAUUACUGGGCGUAAAGCGCACGCAGGCGGUUUGUUAAGUCAGAUGUGAAAUCCCCGGGCUCAACCUGGGAACUGCGUCUGAUACUGGAAAGCUUGAGUCUCGUAGAGAGGGGUAGAAUUCCAGGUGUAGCGGUGAAAUGCGUAGAGAUCUGGAGGAAUACCGGUGGCGAAGACGGCCGCCUGGACGACGACUGAAGCUCAGGUGCGAAAGCGUGGGGAGCAAACAGG